UUGGAGGGCAAGUCUGGUGCCAGCAGCCGCGGUAAUUCCAGCUCCAAUAGCGUAUAUUAAAGUUGUUGCAGUUAAAAAGCUCGUAGUUGAAUUUCGGGACCAAUUUGUUGGUCGUGCCUCGGUACGUACUGGUAUUAUUGGUUUCUCCCUUCUGAAGAACCUCGAUGCCAUUAACUUGGUGUCGUGGGGAAUCAGGACUGUUACUUUGAAAAAAUUAGAGUGUUUAAAGCAAGCAUACGCUUGAAUACAUUAGCACGGAAUAAUGAAAUAGGACGUUUGAUUCUAUUUUGUUGGUUUCUAGGAUCGACGUAAUGAUUAAUAGGGAUAGUUGGGGGCAUUAGUAUUCAAUUGUCAGAGGUGAAAUUCUUGGAUUUAUUGAAGACUAACUACUGCGAAAGCAUUUGCCAAGGAUGUUUUCAUUAAUCAAGAACGAAAGUUAGGGGAUCGAAGACGAUCAGAUACCGUCGUAGUCUUAACCACAAACUAUGCCGACUAGGGAUCGGAUGAUGUUAAUUUUUUAAUGACUCAUUCGGCGCCUUACGGGAAACCAAAGUGUUUGGGUUC
rnacentral:rRNA from 1 species